UGGCUAUUUAGUGCAUGGGAAUGUCUGAGAAACUGCCUUUUAAUGAAGGGGCUCACCCAUGCUUUUCUAGAGUCCUUUUUUCCCCCAACAUUUCAGGGAUCAACCAUUUUCUAGGUGUGGUUGUCUGUAUAUGAUAUCUGAGAGAGGACACCUAUGGGAUUCGUGUAGUCAUGUUUCUUUUGUUGAAAAGUUAAGAGUCAAGGCACUUAGCAAUUUCAUGGUGACACGUUAUGAUGCUAAUAGUUUGGAUGCCCACUGUUUGAAUGCUGGCUUUACAUGGGCUAAUAGAUGGCUGAGUCCAGCUGUGUGAUUUAAGGAAAGCCUUGUCAUGUUCCUUUUGUUAAAACUGGCAUGUUGUUAUGGAUCUUAUCUGUCAGUUGCAUUUUGUUACUUACAUGACUGACGUAGGUGCAAUAACCUCAGGUCAACCAAGGAGACAUCUGCUUCAGAGUGGAUGGAGUGUCUUUGUUAGUUCUAAAAGGCUUGUUGCUGGGG
rnacentral:lncRNA from 1 species